rnacentral:rRNA from 1 species
ACGGGUGAGUAAUGCAUCGGGAUCUACCUCAACGUGGGGGAUAACGUAGGGAAACUUACGCUAAUACCGCAUACGUCCUACGGGAGAAAGCAGGGGACCUUCGGGCCUUGCGCGGUGAGACGAACCGAUGUUCGAUUAGCUAGUUGGUAGGGUAAUGGCCUACCAAGGCGACGAUCGAUAGCUGGUCUGAGAGGAUGAUCAGCCACACUGGAACUGAGACACGGUCCAGACUCCUACGGGAGGCAGCAGUGGGGAAUAUUGGACAAUGGGCGCAAGCCUGAUCCAGCAAUGCCGCGUGUGUGAAGAAGGCCUUCGGGUUGUAAAGCACUUUUAUCAGGAACGAAAUACCACGGGUUAAUACCCUAUGGGGCUGACGGUACCUGAGGAAUAAGCACCGGCUAACUUCGUGCCAGCAGCCGCGGUAAUACGAAGGGUGCAAGCGUUAAUCGGAAUUACUGGGCGUAAAGGGUGCGUAGGCGGUUCGUUAAGUCUGUCGUGAAAUCCCCGGGCUCAACCUGGGAAUGGCGAUGGAUACUGGCGAGCUAGAGUGUGUCAGAGGAUGGUGGAAUUCCCGGUGUAGCG